UAAAAGUUUAGUGUUUUAAAGCCAUACACUACUCAAUGAUUGUACAAUCAAUUGGUACAAUUUUUAUUAAUAAGUUUGAAGAUAACAUUUGUUACUCAGCAAAUUAUCAAUAGAAAUGAAAUGUAAAGCAAUUUAUUAUUAAGAACAUUUUUUUUAUUAAUCUAUUAUUCGUCGGCUGAAUCGACAUUUGUUACUAAUCAAAAUAAGCUUUAUCGGCCCAAGUAUUAAACAGUAAUGAGCUAACUCAAAUUACUCAGUUGUGCUCCUACUUCCCACUUCUUCAGUGUGCAGCCUUAGAUAAACAUGUAUAAGAGGAUGGCGAUUUUUAUUUUUUACAUGAUGUGUUUGGAGAUUUUGAAGCACUCGAAUAGGUGCAACGCCUUACCUGUCCCAAAAGUCCUUCAGCAGACGUUUUCUAAAAAGCCCUUUAGUGAAAACCCGCCAAAAUUUACUGCUUUUACCAGAGUCAAACGAGCGAUACAGCUGGAUUUAAAAAGGAUAACGAAUCCAAUAAUUGGGUCAAUCAACAGAGGACUCAGUUUUAUCGUUGCUAGCCCAAUUUAUAAAGAAUUUUACAAUGCUGGGAAUAAAGUCAAACUUAAAAGUGUUGAAACAAAUGAUGCUAUUGACAGCUAUGUUCAAUAUGCUGUAAACAAAGUUUUUGCUCCUGUAUGAUAUAAAAAUAUGUAUUUAAUAAAUAAUUACAUUAUA